rnacentral:ncRNA from 1 species
UGCACGAAAAGGCAAAGUCCCCGAAAGGCGACGACGCAAAGCCAUGGGUCUAAAGCCGCACGGCCAGGAUUGCCAGGUUGCCGAA